AUACCAUCCCACUCCCAUCCACACACAUUCAAGGGCAAGGUAGAAGAAAAGUAGUGUUGAAGUAUAGGAGCCCUUGCUUAAUCAUACGUGUCCAUGGUAGCCAGUUCCGGAAGAGAACCCGGAGGAGCCAGGAGACGAAGAACAUGACGCCGCGGACACGCAACUGAACGAAGGCAAGUCUCAUCGACCCCUUGCUUUUAUCAUGGUUGCUCCUAAGUGAGAAAAUAUAUAAAACUUGCUAGACAUAGUUGUUGCAUAAGAUGACACACCUGAUAUUGAGUGAACGAGAGAAACUAUGCAUUGAUGGCAUGAUCUAUGUUGAUUAUCUUAUACCUUGAUACUUGAUGAUACUGGAUGGAAAUGAGACCAGAGCAGCAUGGUAAGUGUUGGAGAAUGCGCUACCGUGGUGGUAGACUUGCGACCGAGGUGCCGUGGUGACAUCUCGGGUUUGCUAGUUUUGGUUGGUGGCUGCUCUGGUGAACCAUAAGGACUGUGUGUUGUGGUGCCAUCUCACCUAACUUAUUUCCUGUAUGACCACAUGAGCUUGUAUGGGAAAGCCUUAGCCUAAUCCCACUAGCUGGCCUGGUAGUCGUCUGAGGUGGAUAUGUUUUGGGUUGGAGACCUGAGUGGUUAGGACCCAGGGUUUGUGGGUGGCUAGGCGAGGUUGAGCCAUGUUUGGGUGUCAGCUAUUGAUAGAGCCAUCUUGGGACGGUGAUGUGCGUGUGGGUACAACGUACAACCUCUGCAGAGUGUAUAAUCCAUUCGAAUGGUCCGUGUCCUUGGUAUAGGACAGGUUAUGGUGUGGACACUUCAACUAGUUGAGCUACCUGACUUAUGAGAUGGAUAACGAGCAUGGAUAUAGUUCUAGUAUUGCACUUGUUAAUCAUGUUUAUUGAUCAUUGCAUACUAAUCUGUAACUCCCUCCGUGUAAAGGCGAGGUGGGACUUGCUGAGUACCUUUGUGCUCACCCAUUAUUUUUAUAGAGGAUCCUGAUUUCGUGCCCGAGGAAUUUUGAGUACUUUGUGCCCUAUACCCAAGUUUGGCGUGGUGCCGAUGCUAUAGAAGCCACCAUGUGGGAAGAAGAUACUACCCUCGUGUUUAUCGACUAUAGUUCUUCUAGUUGGUGUUAUUAUUGUAACCGAAUGUACUAAAUAAAGUUAUGUAUGACUAUGGCACCACUUGUGUAAUGUAUUUCACUA